rnacentral:rRNA from 1 species
AUACGUAGGGGGCGAGCGUUGUCCGGAAUUACUGGGCGUAAAGGGAGUGUAGGCGGUCUUUUAAGUUGGAUGUGAAAUCCCCGGGCUUAACUUGGGGGGUGCAUUCAAAACUGGGGGACUAGAGUACAGGAGAGGGAAGCGGAAUUCCUAGUGUAGCGGUGAAAUGCGUAGAUAUUAGGAGGAACACCGGUGGCGAAGGCGGCUUUCUGGACUGACACUGACGCUGAGGCUCGAAAGCGUGGGGAGCAAACAGGAUUAGAUACCCUGGUAGUCCACGCUGUAAACGAUGAAUACUAGGUGUAGGGGGUAUGAACUCCCUCUGUGCCGAAGCAAACGCAAUAAGUAUUCCGCCUGGGGAGUACGGCCGCAAGGUUGAA